rnacentral:rRNA from 1 species
AGCUGGUUUCUCGAGAAAAGAAUUUCAGUUCCACCUAAAGUUUAUCUAAUUCCCACAGAUCCCCACUAACCUUUAGAGCAAGUCAAAUAAGGUACAGCCUAUUUGACACAGGACUCAACCUUUAAUAACGGGUAAUAAUUUCUUCCUUAUACCUAAGUGGGCCUAAGAGCAGCCACCUUUUAAAAAGCGUCAAAGCUUAUUAUCUCUUAAUUCGCUAACCAUUAUUGACCCCUUUAACCCUACCGAGAAUUCCUAUAAUAUUAUAGGACUUUUUAUGCUAAAACUAGUAACAAGAGACUACCCCUCUCUACAAUGUAAACUAAAGCCAGCUCGAACCCCUCACUGGUACCUAAAGACUUAAAAUAAAGUAACAACUCCACAAGAAAACAUUACCAAACCCACUGUUAACCUAACACAAGAACAUUCCAAGAAAGAUUAAAAGAAAAAGAAGGAACUCGGCAAAUGUUGAAUCCGCCUGUUUACCAAAAACAUCACCUCUUGCUCCCACAUAAGAGGCCCAGCCUGCCCAGUGAUUUUAUUCAACGGCCGCGGUAUCCUAACCGUGCGAAGGUAGCGUAAUCACUUGUUUUUUAAAUAAAGACUAGUAUGAAAGGCAUCACGAGAUUUAAACUGUCUCCCUUUUCUAAUCAGUGAACCUAAUCUCCCCGUGAAGAAGCGGGGAUAACUCUAUAAAUUCAUUUUAACU